AACAGGCAUGUUUCACCAGCUGCUCAAGCUCAUUCAGAAGGAGAGGGGAGACCAAGGAGAGACCAGACCGAGGCAGAAGAAAGCUGGCCUUCUGUCUUGGUUUAUUCGGAAGGCAUCAUCAGAAAAUUUCAUCAGUAACCAUGAAAAAGCGUAUAAAGAAAUUGGAGGAACUAAAAUCUGAAAUCCAGAAGUGUAAAUUCGAGCGGGAUGAACUUUCUCGAAUCCUGGACCUUUAUGUCAAUGAUGGUUUGAACUACAGUCUCCUCCCGCCUGGUUCCCUCACAGCCUUCGCAGUCCAAUGUGUCUAUAAGAAAACAGGCUAAAGAUGUCACCUUAAUUCUCCUUUGACUUGUCUCUGUUCCUGGAGUCAUUGCGUCCACCGACCCAGACGCCCAUCGCCGAUCGAGAGUAUUCCACGCAGGGAUCGAGUUCCAGCAAGAGAAGGAUCUUCAGUCACAGAGCACAUUGUGGAACUUUCCUGACAUGCUGGACAGAACUAAGAGGAUGAAUCAACAUCUGGACAUGAGACCUGGAGUUGUAUCUUAAGGUACAACAAUUUUCACCUUCCUGAAGAACCAUCAUACUGAUCUCCGAAGUUGCUGUAGAAGUUUGCCUUUCCACCAGGAGAGUAUGAAUGUUCCCCUUGCUCCAUAACCCAGUCAGCUUGAGUUGUCACAUGUGUUAUUAACCUUAGUCAUACUGACAAGUGUGAAAAGUGAUCUCAGAGUAAUUUUGAUUUGCAUUUGUG
rnacentral:lncRNA from 1 species